rnacentral:lncRNA from 1 species
GGCUCAAAUGGCUUAGAUAGGUCGGCCAGAUUAAUUCCGUGCUUGAGCUAAAAUCUUCUUUGACAUUAUCUGAAGCUUCUACUUCGUCCAUAUAUAAUGAAUGGACUUUUGAAAGUCUCGGGCAUGCACAUGUGCCAAUCAUCAAGUGCUGACUAGCACUGUAUUGCUUUCACGAAUCAGAGAAGAUGAUUCAUCUUGAUAUUAUAUGGC